AGGUGGAUGCAUUUUCCUAUCCUAUGAAGGGCGUGGGUCAUUUCAAAAUUGUCUGAAUCAAGUGAGCUGCAUUAAGGCUUCAUUUAGAGCUGACUGCCCAGGUUUGAAGGUGGAGAAAUGUGGCCUUCGUCUCUUGUACCAUUAUGAUUUGGAAGAGUAUGAGCAAACAAUAAGCCAUAGCAUGAACUCCUCGUUGGAUGGUUGGAAUAUCAUCUAUCAAGGAACAUCUAGUAGAACCUCCAGCUCUAGGAAGGAGUCUAAUUUUGGAAAUCUGAGAGGACCCAUUGAUCCUAAAGUCAAGGGCAAGCGAGUUCUGGAAGAAUAAUCUCUCUUAUUGGGGUCUUCUUUCUAAACUUAUUGGGUUGAGCUUGGAGUGAAGGGGACUGUUCUAAGGCUAAUCUAAUUGAUCCAUCUGACCAAACCUAUCUGAUCCAAAGCAUUGAGGACUGUUUUGAAUGAAUGGGUCAGUUGAAAUUGGGUAUGGAGGUUCAAAAAAUAAUUUGGGUGGCUGGGCAGUUGGCGAGUUUAAUAGAGUUCCUAGGUUCUUGAUUAUGUAAAUUUGUCAGUAAAUGUGUAACAUUGGUAGUAUAUUUAUGUUUUCAGUUGUUGAUGUAAAUUUGUGUAAUUUUUUUGUCUUUUUGAUGAGAUUUAUAAAUUUAAAUGUCUUUUUUUGUUAAGAGUAAAUUUGCAGAGAAGUGAAGGUGAGCUUUCUAGAAGCAUUGAAAUUAAAUAGACUUGUGAAUAUCAUAAAAAGCAUCAUUUUUUUUUUCUAUUUAUGUCGUUGAGUCUAAAGUGCUCAACCUAGCACAGUAGGUUAUGCCAAUUAUUUAUUUAUUUAUUUAAUCCUUCUGUUCAAUUUGAAUUUCUAUUAUAUAACAUUUGGGUUUAUUUAUGUUCAAUCAAUUUCAAAUUGUGAUUUAAGAAUGGCAGAGAGGAAAUUUUAUAUAAGCUGAUAUUGUGCAUUUCCCACUGCAAUCAGGAGUACUUGUCCACCCUCUCUUGAUUUUCCCAAUUCAUGUGAAGGGGGCUGCUAGUAGCUUGAUGGUGCUGGUGAACUGGUUUAGUGCUUAGGCAGUUUCCUUUACAUUCAAUUUUCUUACGAAAUGGAGUUCCUCAUGAUACUUUUUUCAUCUACCCUGCAUAGAAUCCAAGAGGGGGAGAAGGCUACAAAUAUUUGAACCGACAAUAGCUGGAGAUACUAGACCAUUGGAUUAUAUUUUGGCUCAAGUAUCAUCUUUAUUUGGUGCUGAGAAUUCAAGUUCAAACACGGCAAGAAGAAUUUAAACCAUCUGUUUUAUUAACAAAUUCUUUGGGCACCAAGUAGAUUAAAUUUAUGGGCAAAAGAAGGGAAGAUGAAAUGAAAAUUAUUUGUGGGUUGGACAAUAGAUAGCAGAGACAAUUUUUAACAAGCAUAAUAUGUGUACUUGUGCUCAUGUAAAAGAACACAGGGAUAACUACUUCUAUCCAA